GGGGAUCGUAAGACCUAGCGUUGAUGGAGCGGCCGAUAUCUGAUUAGCUAGUUGGUGGGGUAAAGGCCUACCAAGGCGACGAUCAGUAGCUGGUCUGAGAGGACGACCAGCCACACUGGAACUGAGACACGGUCCAGACUCCUACGGGAGGCAGCAGUGGGGAAUUUUGGACAAUGGGGGCAACCCUGAUCCAGCCAUUCCGCGUGAGCGAAGAAGGCCUUCGGGUUGUAAAGCUCUUUCGCAAGGGAAGAAAACUCGAUCUCUAAUAUAGGUUGAGGCUGACGGUACCUUGAUAAGAAGCACCGGCUAACUACGUGCCAGCAGCCGCGGUAAUACGUAGGGUGCGAGCGUUAAUCGGAAUUACUGGGCGUAAAGCGUGCGCAGGCGGUUUUGAAAGUCAGAUGUGAAAUCCCCGGGCUCAACCUGGGAACUGCGUUUGAAACUACAAAGCUAG
rnacentral:rRNA from 1 species